UCUAUAGCUCAGUUGGCAGAGCAUCCUGCUUGUAACCGGAAGGUCAAUGGUUCAAUUCCGUUUGGAG
rnacentral:tRNA from 1 species